ensembl:lncRNA
AAACUCCUGUGUGGAUUUAAUAUCAGUCUCUGGUUGGUUCUUUCUCACUCGGUGCAACAUUCUUGGAGGCCCCAGGGAGACAGCCAGCUGCUCUGGAGCUUAUUAUCUUGGAGCCAUUGUUUCUUUUUAGGAGAGACCAGGAUCAGACAUCGUGGUGUUUGGCCCCUCUGGACACCGGUCUGUAGAAAGGAAAGGCCACCCUGACGGUAUUCCAGGGCUAGGCCACCCUGACAGUAUUCUGGGGCUCUGUGUAGGCCGGUCCCAGUCAGGCCCUAUCACCAAUCAACCGACCCGCAGGAGUUUAUCGGAAAAGACUCUAGAGUCCAGAAACCAGGCACAGAUGACUUCUAACCAGUCCAGGACUUGAGAGAAGUCAACAAGAGAGGAAACCAUUCACCCCAAGGUCCCAGAUCCUUACACGUUGCUGAGCUUAAUUCCCCUGGAGAGAUAGGUCUACACCAUUUUGGAUCUCAAGGAUGCCUUCUUCAGUAUCCCGCUGGCCAAGUCUCUUCAAGCCUUACAGAUUCUUCAGAGUGAGAUCCAGGCUACAAUACAACAGGCUCGAGAAAAACCCUUUAUGACGUUCCAGCUCCACGGUUUCAAGCCAGGAGACCUGGUCCUGAUAUGCCGACAUCAGACAGCCUCGAGCUGCAUUGGAAGGGGCCAUAUCCUGUUAUUUUGGUAACCCCCCUCCGCAAAGUAGCGGGGGGGGGCACAGCUUGGAUUCAUCACACCCAGGUCAAGUCAGCUCCAGCAGAGAGCCCAGAGCCAGCACGAUGGAAGAUUCUAAGCACCCCAGGAGACUUAAAAGUUAAAAUUGGGAAAAGAGGACUAGUACUCCUGGUAUACAUUCUCUAUCAAUCAUGUCAGCUCGGGGGAACAAAUAACUUGUUUCUUCCCUGUUCAGAAACUUGGGAAUUAAGACUAACUUCUAGUGGAAAAAAUCCUGGCAAAAAUAGAGGACCCAACCAAUCUGAGAUCACCUUUACUGCUAGCUUAUGUCAUAUGGUUGAGGAGGCCUCAUAUUAUGGGAACAGGGGCUGUAUGGAAUCUGGGUGCUGUACUCUCACUAAAUGGGGACUCCAUCCUGUCCAAUAUUAUGUAUGUCCAGAAAAUGAAGACCCAUAUUGUGAUGGUAACGGCAAUGACUAUCAUUGUGCCCAAUGGGGAUGUUGGACUAUAGCUCCUUGGUCCAUUCAAAUUAUAGAUCCCUGGUUAAAAAUGUCUCCCACCACCGUAUUAUCAUGAUAAAAACCUGUGAUACUGGCAUAUGUUAUCUGAUUACCAUUACACCCCAAAGAUUGGAAGAUCCUGGGUGGGUAACUGGAAGGACAUGGGGAAUUAGAUUAUAUGUAUCUUGGGUCAGAAUUUACCAUCCAGCAAGGUUGCCAGUGGGUUGAGCGACCUAUGGGGCCCAGCAAGGACUUUGCUCUACCUAUCCCCAUAGCAAGGCCUAAGCCUGUGCCCUCACCUACUCAGAAACCAGAACCCCCCCACUCUUCCAACUAUAUUACAAGAUAAACCCCCCACCCCUGUACUGGAAAUGUUGAUGAGCAUCCAUUUACUCAACAAAUCCAGCCCUGAGGAGGCUAAAGAUUGUUGGCUCUGCCUCGACCCCAGGCCCCCAUAUGAUUUGGGGUUGGGGCUCGUGGCUAUGGCAGACUUGUCCCCAACAGGUUGUGAUUGGAGCCACCCUCAACUCACCCUGGGGGACAUCCAAGGAAAAGGAACAAAUUACAGUUUGGAUACAUCACCUUAUAGAGAUCUGUGUAAUGAUAGUUAUAAUAAUCACCCUGCCUCAGGCCCCUGUUACUACAAGGCUCCAGAAGAUGCUUGGUUUGCUUGCACCAAGGGCUUGACUAAAUGUAUUCCCAAAUCAGUCUUGGCUACCCAAUGUGCCACUUUAUUUUGUGUCACCGUGUAUGUUGUUCCACAAGUCUUGUAUUAUAAUGGAAAAGGGGGCCGCAAACAUCUGGGAUUAACCACUGAACACUAUAGAAGUAAAUGGCUGUUCCCGUUUUAGUGCCCAUUUUGGUAGGAUUAGGAAUAGCCGGGUCAGCUAUUGGAACUUCCUCCCUGAUCCUUCAGGACAAAUUUUAAAGCCCUAAGCCACCAAGCAGCCAGAGAUUUGGGUCACCUGGAAGACUCGAUCUCCAGAUUAGAGAACCAGGUUGAUUCCCUAGCUGAGAUGGUCCUGCAAAAUCGAAGGGGACUUGACCUCCUGUUCAUGAAACAGGGAGGGUUAUGUGUAGCCCUAGGAGAAACCUGUUGCUUCUAUGCUAAUCAGUCUGGUGUCAUUAGAGAUACCUUAGCUACGGUCAGAGAAAAUUUAAAGACUAAAUAUGCUCAACAAAAGGAUCAAAAUUGGUUUCAGAAUCUAUUUGACUGGUCCCCAUGGUUAACUACCCUACUUUCUGCUGUAGCAGGCCCCUUAGUUAUCUUACUUCUGCUUUUGCUUGUGGGACCUUGUAUUAUAAAUGCU